GAGGGCUAGGAAGAGGGGAAGGAAGAAUCACCCAGUGAGACAAAAUUCUUCGUAGGAAUUAUAUUUUCCCUUGCCCUCACCCAACAUCGCCUAUCUCAAAAAUAAUUUAAAAACAAAAAACAAACAAACAAACAAAAAACAGAGCGUGCUGAGUGCAUUCUGGAUUACUCAUAGGACUUUGUCACACACACCCUCCUUUCUGGUCGCAAACCCGUGAGCUGGAUUUAUAAUCGCCCUACAAAGCUCCAGAGGCAGUCAGACACCUGCAAAGGAGCCCCAGCGCUCCGCGGACGAGCUGCCCCCGCGAGCAACGGCCUCGUGAUUCCCCCCGCCGAGCGGGUCCCCGCCUCCCCACUCCGCCCCCGCCUCCCCCAAGCCCAGCGGCCGCCUCUCCGGAUCUCUCCCUUCUUCAGGCUCUCCCGUGCCGGACCAGGGAUCGUGCAAGCAAGGAAGCAGCCCUGGGGUGACACCCAGCACGUACUCCUGUGACAGAGCCGAGCCCAGCCCAGCCCCGGGACGCUUCGCAGAGGAGUCGCGGGAGGGUCCAGCUCGCUGUCGCUGAACCGAGGUGGGUAAAUACCGGAUCGCCCGGACUUGCCAGAGCCCCGCCUCGGUUAUUCAACCCGGUGCCCUCAGCCUGCGGCUUCUUGUCCAGCCCUUUGCCUCACCCCACCAGCACGCGCCUGUCGCCCACCUUCCACAGCCGAGUGCUUCCCGCCAGUCCUGUCGCAGCUGUGGUUUGGCGCACCCAUCCCCUACCCUCCUCGCUCUUGAAACCCUUAUCAAUUUCAUUCGGGAGGACACAUAAGGGCUGAAGUGACCCCAGAGCCAUUUUUUGCCUGCGCUUGGGGGAUCGGAGCUCACGGCUGUCGGAUACGCGCCUGGGUAGCAGCGGCAGAAGCCUGUUCCUGCGCCCAGUCUGCGGGGGACCCUUGAACCGUAGAGACCCCAAGACCACCGAGCUGAUGGCAUCUUCCACUCCUUCGCCUGCAACCUCCUCGAACGCGGGAGCGGAUCCUAAUACUACCAACCUGCGCCCUACAACGUAUGAUACUUGGUGUGGCGUAGCCCAUGGAUGCACCAGAAAACUGGGCCUGAAGAUCUGUGGCUUCUUACAAAGGACCAAUAGCCUGGAAGAGAAGAGUCGUCUUGUGAGCGCCUUCAGGGAGAGGCAGUCCUCCAAGAACCUGCUUUCCUGUGAAAACAGUGACCAGGGUGCCCGCUUCCGGCGCACAGAGACCGACUUCUCCAACCUGUUUGCUCAAGAUCUGCUUCCAGCUAAGAACGGGGAGGAGCAAACUGCGCAGUUCUUGCUGGAAGUGGUAGACAUACUCCUCAACUAUGUCCGCAAGACAUUUGAUCGCUCCACCAAGGUUCUGGAUUUCCACCACCCACACCAGUUGCUGGAAGGCAUGGAAGGCUUUAAUUUGGAGCUGUCUGACCACCCCGAGUCUCUGGAGCAGAUCCUGGUUGACUGUAGAGACACCCUGAAGUACGGGGUUCGCACAGGUCACCCUCGAUUUUUCAACCAGCUCUCUACUGGUUUGGAUAUCAUUGGUUUAGCUGGUGAAUGGCUGACAUCGACUGCCAAUACCAAUAUGCCAUCAGACAUGAGGGAGUGUUGGUUGCUACGGUGAUGGGGCUCAGAGCAGAACCAAAGCAUGAGUGUGACCUCCAGAGGUGAUGGUUCACAUAUGAAAUUGCACCCGUGUUUGUUCUCAUGGAACAGAUUACUCUUAAGAAGAUGAGAGAGAUCGUUGGAUGGUCAAAUAAAGAUGGUGAUGGGAUAUUUUCUCCUGGGGGAGCCAUAUCCAAUAUGUACAGCAUCAUGGCUGCUCGUUACAAGUACUUCCCAGAAGUGAAGACAAAAGGCAUGGCGGCUGUGCCCAAACUGGUCCUCUUCACCUCAGAACACAGUCACUAUUCCAUAAAGAAAGCCGGGGCUGCGCUUGGCUUUGGAACCGACAAUGUGAUUUUGAUAAAGUGCAAUGAAAGGGGGAAGAUAAUUCCGGCUGAUUUAGAGGCAAAAAUUCUUGAUGCCAAACAAAAGGGCUAUGUUCCCCUUUAUGUCAAUGCAACCGCAGGCACGACUGUUUACGGAGCAUUCGAUCCAAUCCAGGAAAUUGCGGACAUAUGUGAGAAAUACAACCUUUGGCUGCAUGUGGAUGCUGCCUGGGGUGGUGGACUGCUCAUGUCCCGGAAGCACCGCCACAAACUCAGCGGCAUAGAAAGGGCCAAUUCAGUCACCUGGAACCCUCACAAGAUGAUGGGCGUGCUGCUCCAGUGCUCUGCCAUUCUGGUCAAGGAAAAGGGUAUACUCCAAGGAUGCAACCAGAUGUGUGCAGGCUACCUCUUCCAGCCAGACAAGCAGUAUGACGUCUCCUAUGACACCGGGGACAAGGCGAUUCAGUGUGGCCGCCAUGUGGACAUCUUCAAGUUCUGGCUGAUGUGGAAAGCAAAGGGCACCGUGGGAUUUGAAAACCAGAUCAACAAAUGCCUGGAGCUGGCUGAUUACCUCUACGCCAAGAUUAAAAACAGAGAAGAGUUUGAGAUGGUUUUCGAUGGUGAGCCUGAGCACACAAAUGUCUGUUUCUGGUACAUUCCACAAAGCCUUCGAGGGGUUCCAGAUAGCCCUGAGCGACGAGAAAAGCUACACAGGGUGGCUCCCAAGAUCAAAGCUCUGAUGAUGGAGUCAGGAACAACCAUGGUGGGCUACCAGCCUCAAGGGGACAAGGCCAACUUCUUCCGGAUGGUCAUCUCUAACCCAGCCGCCACCCAGUCUGACAUCGAUUUCCUCAUUGAGGAGAUAGAGAGGUUGGGUCAGGAUCUGUAAUCCCUCUUUACAGAACCAGAAUCAUCGGCCAUGCUUGUGCCCCUCUGGUACCCUAGAGCACAGCUCUGUCAGUAGCUGACACAUCUAGGCCAUCUCACUGAAGGAAAUUACAAUCUCUUAAAGAAUAUUUGUCACAUUUCACAUAAGCUUGUUUGUUAGAGCUAGUGGGGAAAUAAUGUUCUUUUUAAAAAAUUGCACAUUAGAAACACAGUAUAUAUGUACAGUUAUAUAUACCUCUCUCUAUGUACAUGUAUGUAUAGUGACUGUGGCUUAGUCCUAGACCAUAGCAUGUUGCUCGUCCCCAGGAAAUUAGCCUUACCCCCAGCAAUUACUAAGAGGCUAAACCAUCUCGCAAGCAACUACAGGGCGGAUGGUAUCCCUACUGCAGUGUCCUAGGGACCCAGGGAAAGGCUGUUGGUGGGAGGCUACCUCCCUGCUAGAGCUGUUCCCACGUGAAGGGAUGAUGGAUGACAGAUGUACCAGUAAAUGACAAAUGUCACACCCUCCCUGUUAGUACCCUGCUAGGGGAAAUAGUAGCAGUCUUUGUCACAAUUGUGCUUUGCUGUGUUUUAGAGAUUAAUCUGUGUAAACUGUGUACAUUGCCAUUGUCUAUCUUUGGGCAGGGGGAAGUGCAUAUAAUGAUUAAAUUGUAUGUCAGUGAGAUAUCUGCUUAUUUAUAUUCAAAUAUAUACCAUGUUAAAGAGACAUCUUGUAUUUUCUUCCCAUUUGUAAUGUAUCUUAUUUAUAUAUUAAUGGAGUAAGUUCUGGAUACUGUUUAUGGUAUUUUCGUGCAUUUGUGAGCCAAAGAGAAAAGAUGAAAAUUAGUGAGAUUUGCAUUUAUAUUAGAGUGCCCUUAACAUAAUGAUUUGAACAUAUGUGUACUGUCUGGAAAAGAAUUCUGAUACUGUACAUAGAGUCAUGUUAUGGAAAUCUUGCUUCAGUAGCCUUCGCUCUUCUCUUUCCCCCCUCAGGCUGUAUGUCAGAUGUUCUCAAAGCUUUUCUAGUAACUGUUGAAUAAUAAUAACUAGAUCUCCUGUAAUUUUGUAGUAGUAUAUGACCAAUCUCUGUGACUCGCUUAGCUGAAACCUAAGGCAAUGUUUCUGAAGACCUCCGAUACACUGACCAGUCCCACAAGUGUUUUUGAAGACAUGAAACCCACACUGUGCAUUUAGGGUGUGCAAGAAGAAUAUAAAUAAAAUAAAAAAUAUUCUCCAUGAA